UUACCCUGGAAAGGUGAAUCAAAAAGGCCGCACAAAAAUAUGAGAAGGAGGACCAUGCAGAGUCAAAGGGACUUCACUAUCCCUGACCUCCUGCAAUUUAAUUUCCACAAAGUAGGUCAACUGAGCACACAUGCUAAUGCCCCCCUCCAUCCCAAUUAGCCCAACCUGCAUGUCUUGGCUGUGGGAGGAAACCAGAGUACCCAGAGGAAACGCACGUGGACACGGGGAGAAAGUGCAAACUCCACACAGCCGGGGUCCAAACUCUGGACCUUCUUGCUGUGAGGCAACAGUGCUAUCUACAGCACCAUCAUGCCGACUGAAAGAUUUGGAAGUUUCAGCUAGAUCAUAAGAAUGAAAUGCAGUUUCAGUGAUUAAGCGGCAAAGCCCAGAAAUGCAGACUGGAACUAACCGCUCAGAUGCAAGUAUGGUACAACUGGUUAACAUUUUAAGAAGUUACAUCAUACUGAAGUGAAGCAUGGCAGCAGUACCUCAGAGUUGUCAAAAGACAGACACCGAAGAGAUUCGAUGGGUGCAAGGAGGAUGAGGUUGUAGCAGCAGAGGGUCAGGAUGAGGUGGCAGAUGAGGAUGAUGAGGAAGAUGAAAUUGAAGAGGAGGACGAACCAUCAUGUUUUGGAUCUGGCGAAGACCAAUGAGCUAACAUUAUUAGCAUACUAGCUGCUCGCCACAAGUAGAAAGACAAAAAAUGAGCAUAUGACAGUUCUUUAUUUAAUCACUGUUAAAAUGUUGCAUCUAGUCAUUGUUUUCCUGGUCUUUUUAAGGAACUUUUUACUGGAAAUAUCAUUAAAAGAGAUUCCACAGCUGUUCAGACUUGACGUCCAUUGCAUUGGACAUGAAAUAAAAGAAAUAGAGGUGACUUAAAAAAAUUUUUGUUUGAGCAAUGCAUUUCUACAUGUAAUAUGAGUUUCCAUGGCUGGAAAAAAUUCAG